rnacentral:rRNA from 1 species
GACGAACGCUGGCGGCGUGCUUAACACAUGCAAGUCGAACGGAAAGGCCCUGCUUGCAGGGUACUCGAGUGGCGAACGGGUGAGUAACACGUGGGUGAUCUGCCCUGCACUUCGGGAUAAGCCUGGGAAACUGGGUCUAAUACCGGAUAUGACCUUCCAUGUAGUGUGGGGGGUGGAAAGAUUUAUCGGUGUGGGAUGAGCCCGCGGCCUAUCAGCUUGUUGGUGGGGUAAUGGCCUACCAAGGCGUCGACGGGUAGCCGGCCUGAGAGGGUGGACGGCCACAUUGGGACUGAGAUACGGCCCAGACUCCUACGGGGGGCAGCAGUGGGGAAUAUUGCACAAUGGGCGGAAGCCUUAUGCAGCGACGCCGCGUGGGGGAUGACGGCCUUCGGGUUGUAAACCUCUUUCGACAGGGACGAAGCUUCGGUGACGGUACCUGUAUAAGAAGCACCGGCUAACUACGUG